CUCCCAACCCAAUGUGAACCAUACCAAACUGUUGCCUCGGCGGGGUCACGCCCCGGGUGCGUCKCAGCCCCGGAACCAGGCGCCCGCCGGAGGGACCAACCAAACUCUUUUCUGUAGUCCCCUCGCGGACGUUAUUUCUUACAGCUCUGAGCAAAAAUUCAAAAUGAAUCAAAACUUUCAACAACGGAUCUCUUGGUUCUGGCAUCGAUGAAGAACGCAGCGAAAUGCGAUAAGUAAUGUGAAUUGCAGAAUUCAGUGAAUCAUCGAAUCUUUGAACGCACAUUGCGCCCGCCAGUAUUCUGGCGGGCAUGCCUGUCCGAGCGUCAUUUCAACCCUCGAACCCCUCCGGGGGGUCGGCGUUGGGGAUCGGGAACCCCUAAGACGGGAUCCCGGCCCCGAAAUACAGUGGCGGUCUCGCCGCAGCCUCUCCUGCGCAGUAGUUUGCACAACUCGCACCGGGAGCGCGGCGCGUCCACGUCCGUAAAACACCCAACUUCUGAAAUGUUGACCUCGGAUCAGGUAGGAAUACCCGCUGAACUUAAGCAUAUCAAUAAGCGRARGAA
rnacentral:rRNA from 1 species